GGAUUGCGGCUCGGGACUGGCCUAAAGGCAGCGCGGGCUCUGAUUGGGCGAGGCGGAGUCACGAGGGCGUCAUUCUCUUCCGUGCUGUGUUCUGCCUGGGCCUAGAGUUCUGGGAGGCUGCUGGGAGGGCACUGCCAGCCAGUUGGCGCCUGCGGGCUGCUGCAGGCUCUUUCCGGGCGUGUAGUGCAGGUGGCCGCGCGUGGUGGCCCGCGGGGCUUUGAGUGGGCGGGGCCCUACACCAGCGAUAGCUUUAAGGGGAGGAGUACUCGUCAGGGACAACACUGUGCGGGUUAAUUUGGGAAGUGAUGGUUAAAGGUCAUGGCUUGAGACUCACUUGUGUUGUUAAUUUUGAUGGGGGUAGAGAUGGAAGCUGCUCCAGUUAACAGUGAGUUCUCAGGCUGGAGAGGUAAAGACACUUGAAUUGUAGGUACUGAUUUUGUUCCGCUAUGGGGGCUUUAUUUUGGUCCCGUGUGCUUCCGUUUGAGCAGUCGGUGGUGGAAUUACUAAUUUUUAAGAGCAUCAGAGUUACUUGAAAACGAUGGUGAAGGGAGCCAAAUGAGAGGAAAAGGGAGGAAUUCCUUUUUUACCUCGAGGAGUUUCGUUUCUAGAUCGUGGCAAAAGAGAAGGAAAACAAAUCAAGGUGAACUGAAGAAAAUGAGCCUUUCCCCAGAGGAGAUAGAGGAUGGGGAAGAUGAGACGUCAGAAGAUAAGGACAAUGGCAGUAGAGAUGAGGUGCCUGUGUGGGGGUCCUCACCUUUGGUGUUUUACUCGAAUGCAGAGAGUUGGGACACUACAGACACACUGAGCCACCUGAACAGUCGUUGACUUGACAAGCGUGCCAGGUAAUUCUGGUGCUGGGAGCUCUUUUACUGCACACUGAGAAAUUCAUCCUGGAGAAAUCAACACAGCCGUUGACACGUGGGCCUGAGCAGAUCUUGCACUUGCUGACUGUGCAAUGUGACUGUCGCCUCCUGGCCACAGAGGAGACAUCUCUUCAUUGUUGUUCUUCCUCCUCUAGGUUGAUGUCCCUCAGAAAAAUGGUAGGAAGAUUACUACUGCUCCAGGAAAUAAAAUCGAGAAAAAAAAGUUUCUGGCUCCCAUGUUUGCUGAGAAAUUAAUAUCACCAUGCAGGAAGGGAGCCACAGGGGCCAAGGUUCCAAAAGACAGGAGGAGUGCCCUGCUCGAGAACCAUGAGAAGGGACUUGAGAACCCUGAGGAGGAUGAAGGAGAUUUGGUUAUGUGAAUUUUAAAUCUGCUAACGACCAGGAAAAAGCCCUGGAACUUAGUGAGACAAACGUCCUUGGAUAUGAAAUUAAAUGGAAGAAACCGAAAAGGGAAAGGAAACAAAGAAACGUAUGCAAGCAAGAUGGAAAUGCCAAAACACUUUUGAUCAAGAACUUGCCUGACAGAGUCACUCAGCAUGAAUUAAUAGAAGUGUUUGAGGAUACUUUUCAAAUCAGAUUGGUGAGCAAGGAUGGGAUGAGUGAAAGGAUCGCCUCUAUUGACUUCAAGUCACAGGCCGAUGCAGAGAGAGCCUUGGAAGAGAAGCAAGGAACAGAGAUCGGUGGGCUUUCUGUAGUUCUGGAACUUGUCGGAGCAAAAAGCCAAGGCCAAGAUGAGAGAGACGGGAGGGAAAAAAGUGCAACUGGCAAAGUAAGGGUGUGACAGCUCUGUAGAUGGAGACUCGCCAGGUUUCCCAGGGAGGGGCUAGUAUGAGGUUAGGGGCACUUGGCACUGUUUUGUUUUUUGUUUUUUUUGUUUUUUUUGGCUGCGUUGGGUCUUCGUUGCUGCACAUGGGCUUUCUAUACUUGUGGCGGGCGGGGGCUACUCUUUGUUGCAGUGUGUGGGCUUCUCAUUGUGGUGGCUUCUCUUGCUGCAGAGCAUAGGCUCUAGGGGCACGGGCUUCAGUUAGUUGCAGCACAUGAGCCCUAGAGUGUGCAGGCUUCUGUAGUUGCAGCAUGUGGGCUCCGUAGUUGUGGCUCGCGGGCUGUAGAGCGCAGGCUUGGUAGUUGUGGCGCGUGGGCUUACUUGCUCUGCGGCACGUGGGAUCUUCCUGGACCAGGGUUCGAACCCGUGUCCCCUGCAUUGGUAGGUGGAUUCUUAACCACUGCACCACCAGGGAAGUCCCACUUGGCACUUUUAAAUACAGUUUCUCUAUCAGAAAUGUGUAAGUCAUCCUCAUAAUUCUGUCAAGCUAAUAAGUAUUGUCCUAGUUAACUGUAACCUCGAAGCCUGCAGAAGGCAUGGCACUUUGAGAGACAUCAGUUUAGUUCCCCCUUUUGGGGUAUCUUCUAGGAUUCUGUUUCAACAAGCUCUGAAAUCUGUGGUUUUAGAGUUAGAUAUUUAAUUCUCUUCAAGUUGUGUUUUUUAAAAAAUUUUGGCUCUGUUGCGUGGCUUGCAGGCCAUGGCAGUGAAAGGGCCAAAUCCUAACCACUAGACCACCAGGGAACUUCCUCAGGUUUAAAGACCCCAAACCUAAUCUCCCUAAUCUGAUUGCUCGACGUGGUGGCUUAUACAGAAAAAAUAAAUAAAACAAUAGAAUUUACCAUGAAUAUUUUUUAAAAUCAAGAGAUUUCACAUAAAAAACUGGAUUUCCAGCUGCUUUUGCUACAUCAGAAAAUCUGGUGGCCCUGGGGCUGCGUCCCUACACGUCCACAGGCGUCUGGAGAGAGGCAGCUGCUUCCUCUCAGCUGUGGCAUUUGUUCUGCUGGCUAUAGCCCCACUGUUCUGGAAGUUCUUACCAACCCUGAAGGAGUGAACAUCACGCUGACACUUUGAAAAAAUAGUGAAUACUUUUUUUUUUUUAUCACAAAGCCAUACUUUUUUCUUCUUGGUAAAGAUAUUUUUAUAUGUCUUAUGCAUUUGUCUCUUUCAAAAGUGGGAAAAUGAAAGUUAGACAAGAAAACCAUAGACUUCAAGAAAAAUGGGAGAGAGCUUAUUUCUUUGGAGGUAAAAGAACAUUCCUUCAUAUUUAAUAUGCAAACAACGUCUGUCUGUGUCAAGAGAAUGUGACCUAAGACACCAUUAUGAAAGCAACCAUCAUAGGAACCAUGAAGAAUCUACAGAAAAGCUGUGUGAUAGAAAAUUCAAUGAACUGAAAAAAAGACUGAAAUUUCAACAUGAUUUGCUUUUGAAUGUGAAUAAAAUAAGUGAUGCUGCUAUGAAAUGUAGUUACAUAUUAAGCGAGAAAAUUGCCCGGGCAGCCAAACCUUUUGCAGAUGGUGAGUUUAUCAAGGACUGUCUGUUGAGUGCGGCAGAAAUCAUGUGCCCUGAACAGAGACAAGCGUUUGCCAACAUAAGACUGACUGGUAGUGUUGUUGCCCAGCAUGUUUACAACACGACUGAGAACUUGCAGGACAAGUUGCAAGAAAAAGCCGAAUCAUUUGUGGCUUUUUCCAUUGCAGCUCAGGAAGGAGUGGAUGGAAAUAUCGACCCCUACAUAGGUGUAUUUAUUCGUGGUGGCAAUGAAACUUCUGAUGUGACCGAAGAACUUCUGGACCUGGCCCCCAUAACAGGCACAACAUCAGGAAAUGAAUGUUGAGAAAAGUCUUAAAACAUUUAACGUGGACUGGUCAAAAUUGGUGAGUAUUAGCACAGAUGGUGACUCUGCGAUGGUUGGUGUUAAAGAACUAGUUGCAAAACUGAAAUCUAAAGUAUCAGGGCUGGGCUUCCCUGGUGGCGCAGUGGUUAAGAAUCUGCCUGCCAAUGCAGGGGACACAGGUUCGAGCCCUGGUCCAGGAAGAUCCCAUGUGCCGUGGAGCAACUAAGCCUGUGCGCCACAACUACUGAGCCUGCUCUCUAGAGCCUGCGUGCCACAACUACUGAAGCGUGCACGCCUGGAGCCCGUGCUGCACAACAAGAGAAGCCAGGGCAAUGAGAAGCCUGCACACCGCAAUGAAGAGUAGCCCCCGCUCACUGCAACUAGAGACAGCCCACGUGCAGCGACGAAGACCCAAUGCAGCCAAAAAUAAAUAAAUUUAUUUAAAAAAAAAAAAAAUGUCAGAGGUUUGCCAAGACACGGAACUAAAGUCUGUGCAUGGCCUCAUUCUCCAGGAGUCACUUUGUGCUAAAAGGUUAAAAAUGAUAGUUAAGGGCUUCCCUGGUGGCACAGUGGUUGAGAGUCCGCCUGCCGAUGCAGGGGACACGGGUUCGUGCCCCGGUCCGGGAAGAUCCCACAUGCCGCCGAGCGGCUGGGCCUGUGAGCCAUGGCCGCUGAGCCUGCGCAUCCGGAUCCUGUGCUUCGCAACGGGAGAGGCCACAACAGUGAGAGGCCCGUUUACAGCAAAAAAAAAAAAAAAAAAAAAGGUAGUUAAAAAACUACUAUGUCAUGGACAUAAUCUGGAUACGCUCCCAUGGCUUGGACCACAGAAAGUUCGGUGCUUUGUUUAAUGAGUUAGAUGCACCAUAUGGAAGCAUGUUCUGCUCCAUGGAACUUAAGUGGCUGAGUUGUGGUGUGGUCCUAAGGCAGGUUUUUGAAUUGUUGGAGGAAAUUAACUUUUUCCUGUCUUCUAGAGGAAAAUCUGUGCCUCAGCUUACAAGCAAAGAUUGGGUCAGAGACUUAGCCUUUUUGGUUGACAUUAUGACAUAUCUAAGCAUGUUGGAUAUUUCUCUGCAAAGGCGUUCUCAAAUGGUGACACAAAUGUAUGAUUCAGUUGGCUCAUUCCUAGCAAAAUUGUGUCUUUGGGAGACUCAUAUGGCAAGGAACAAUCUGGCCCACUUUCCUACACUGAAAUUAGUUUUUGAACAUGAAAAUGACGGCCUGAACUACAUUCACCAAAUUAAAGAGUUGAAGGCUGAAUUCCAAAAAAGGUUCUCUGAUGAAAACUUUAUGAGAAUGAACUAAUAUUGUUCAGUUCCCCUUUCUCAAUUGGUAUCAAUAAUGUGAAUGAAGAGCUACAAAUGGAAGUUAUUGAAUUGCAGUGCAACAGUAUACUGAAAGCCAAAUAUGGUGACGUUGGGAUCCCAGAAUUCUACAGACACCUUGGGAACGGUUACCCGAAAUAUAAAAACCAUUGCGCAAAGGUUCUGUCCAUGUUUGGAAGUAUUUAUGUUUGUGAGCAGCUCUUUUCUGCUAUGAAACUAAAGAAAAGUAAAUGUUGCUCCCAGUUAAAGGAUUCAAAGAUGAAUGUGCAGCACAGGAUUCACAGCCUGACGUUGAUUGACAUUUUGGGGCAUAAGAAAGGAGUGUCAGAUUUUGAAUUUCAAAUCUGAGGAGUAAUAAAUUAUGGAACUUUGAAUAAUUAUUUCUAUUUCCAAAUUAUGUUUUUUCAAUGUCAGAUUUAAAGCAUAAUCUCUGGCAUCGUAUGUUUGUACCUUAUAACAUAUAAAAUAACGUUUCCUUAUAUCCCGGCAGCUUAUUUGUCCUAUACUUGGCUUUUCUGGCGCUUAGAUUAUUCAGGUUUAUAAACCUGUGCCCUAAAAGUAGCCACAUUUUCCCAAAAGGCACUUGUGAGCCGGCGACGUGAACCAGGGAGUCAGCUGGAUGAACGGAAUGUUUAGAUGCCUCAUGCAACCCUGUCCCCUAGGAUGACAGACGUGCCACAGUGAUCCUGGGGCUCACCACUUCCUUAGACGGAGCUGGGGCGGCAUAGCCAAUUCUGGCCGCUGGGCUUCCUUUUUGGUGCUUGCAUUUUGCAUUUAAACACCUUUCUUUUGAAAUUUCAAUAUUGCUGGUCAGCUCACAGUCAGUUGUGUCUGGACCUGGGAGCCUGUUCUACCUCUUACAGACAGGGAUGGGCAUUCCUUUGGCAUCCUGGUCACCCCAAGGGGAUGCAGAAUGGGGUGUCAACAUGUCUAAGAGCUUAUGAGCAUUCUUCCAGGGAGAAGGCCCAUAGCUGCCUUCAGAGUCUUAAAGAGGUCUGUGAUCCAAAAGGUGUUUCUCUACUGUGAAAUUGGGACAGGACUCCUCACUGUUGCAGAAACUAUAUCUUGAAAAAUCAGUCACAUUAUAGAAAUGAUAUGUACUUACUGUAGAACAUUUGGAAACUCUAAAGAAAUAAAGGGAGGGCUUCCCUGGUGGGGCAGUGGUUAAGAAUCUGCCUGCCAAUGCAGGGGACACGGGUUCGAGCCCUAGUCCGGGAAGAUCCCACAUGGCGCAGAGCAGCUAAGCCUGUGCAUCACGACUACUGAGCCUGCACUCUGUAGCCUGUGAGCCACAAUUACUGAGCCCGCGUGCCACAACUGCUGAAGCCCGCGUGCCUAGUGCCCGUGCUCCGCAACAAGAGAAGCCACCGCACUGCAACAAAGAGUAGCCCCCGCUCACUGUAACUAGAGAAAGCCCGUGUGCAGCAACGAAGACCCAACACAGCCAAAAAUAAUAAAUAAAUAAAAAGAAAAGAAAUAAAGGGAAAAACCUAUAAUCUCAACAACCAGAGGUAACCCCUAUAAAUAUUUAGGUAUGUUUUCUCUGUCAACUUUCUGUGAUUAUUUUAUGUGGUUGAGUACAUCAUGUAUUCUGCUGCCUUCCCCCUCACUCCCUCACUUAGUAAAUUCUAAACAUCCAU